UGCCCGCCAGCCCACUUCUCCACCCACCGACCAGAACAGUAGAGCAAACAGGAGUGAGGAGACCCGGGUUCGGUGCCGGCCCUGUCAUGGAUCCACUGGGUGUCCUUAGCCAGCUCUCUGGGGACCUUCUCAACUAACGCCCUCACGUCAGAUGCCCGCUGGGGAGUCAUCUGCCUGAUUUGACCUGGACGUGCUUCUCUUUGCUGCCCUCCGCAUUCCUCGGCCAGACCACAAAGACACCACACACCGAGGGCAGGGUGGAGGCUGUUUCUUUAUACAAAGGUAAUCAACACUGUGGAUCCAUAAGCAUGCUGCUGCGGCUCACGCCGGCCCGUCGCACCACUUCCGGG